GGCUGGUCUGUGUGCAGUGGUGUUUACAACUAAUUGAUCACAACCAGUUAAAGAUAUCUUCAUGCCUUCUCUACUUGCACUGCUUCACUUGACUAGACUAAA
rnacentral:Y_RNA from 1 species